GGUCUCGUAGUGUAGCGGUUAACACGCCUGCCUGUCAUGCAGGAGAUCGCGGGUUCGAUUCCCGUCGAGACCGCCA
rnacentral:tRNA from 1 species